AUUCACUUAGACUACAGUCCCUUUUUCAAAUACACAGCCUAAACACAACCUUAGUGACUGGACUUUAUUGUGUGUUAUGGUUCAGUCUGCAAAAUGACAUACACAGAGUUAUUCAUGUUAAAGCAUGAUUGUAGCUUUCUUUGUCUCUGAUUAAAUCUGUAUCACCAGCAUUAUUGGAUGACAUAGUUUCUUAAGUAAUUUGCAGAAGAACUCUGUGAUAAAAAGCUGCUGAAAAUUUUGGAAGAAAAUAGAAUCAAAGAUGGUAAGGAAGAGAGAUAAUUAUAUACAAAACCUCAACCAUAGGGUUUGUUUGAGAGCUAUAUCCAAACAUCGGAGAAAAGAGCAUAAGAUUCAAAUAUGAAAUAAACCUAACAUCCAUUCUUUCCAUUAUAAAGAGUUUGUUUAUAAGGAUUAAAAUUCUUCUGUCCUCAAGUUACAUGUAAUACUAGCCACUGAUUUGACCUGGUAUUAAAGAGACUAAGAUGACAUUAGCCUGCCCUUAAACCCUUGACUUUAAAUUAUUGCAUCACCAAAUCAUCUGCUGCUCUAGAAUAAUUUUCAAAAUUUUUCUAAUCUAGAAAGGAACAGAAAAAGCCACUGUAUCUUCCUAUCUAUUGCUGCUUCUGCCUGCAUCAUGAGCUGUCCAGGUUGAUGUAUAUUUAAAUGAUAAAAGAAAACAUUUGAGCCGCUUUAAAAGAUUAUGGUAAACUGAUACGGUUAGGAAUGUGAGGAAUUGAACUACUGCUUCAAUAGUAUAAAUGUAAGACGAAUGCUCUGAAAGGAAGUAUUGCUUGGAUUAUGGAAAAAAAAAAAAAGCACUUGAAGUUUGGAAUUUCAUGCUUUUAGGAGAGAGAUAAGAUUUUUUAGUGGGGUUAAUGAUAAGGUAGAUUUGUUUUUCUGUUUGUGAUGUUUUGAGAUAUCAUAUUUCAUUCCGAGACUUUUUCAAUCUAGCAUGCAUGUUAAUGUAAGUGUUCUCGUGAGCAUUUCUAUCUGCAUUGUAGGAUUUCCUACAAUAAUUGUGAAGAAUCAUCUUUUGAAAAUUUAAAAUUUGUAAAUUUACUUUUAAGAGAUUGAGAAAGGGCUUCAAUUGGAAAUGCAGAGUGCCAUCUAGAUAUUUACAUGUUAAAUGUCUUAGAAUCUUCAGGUUUUUACAUUGUAUAAGAGGUCUUCUAACCGCUUUCUGAAUUGCUUGGCAUAUUUUAAAGCACUUUUCUGAUCUUCAAGCAUUUUUCCUUUGUUCUCUAACAGCUAGUCAUCAAAGAACAAUAGUUGUUGUAUGAUUUCAAUUACUUGUGAGUUUAUGAAGGAUGCUUGUUUAUCAGAUAUUUUGGUGGUCUUCAAUAAGUAUUCAGCUGCUCAGCUUAGUUCGCUGCUUGGAAAGUUAGCAUGGGCUGCUAACAUACUAAUGAAAUUGGUUGCUAAUAACUGCAAUUUCUGUUAUUUUUGGUGCAAUAUAACGACUUUCACCUUGUGAAGUGGAUGAUAUAGGGGUAGUGAUCAACACCCUUCCCACUUUGCCCUCUUUUUCUUGGUGCAUUUGCUGUAUGGGAGAAUGAUGAUCGAUACCCUUUAACAUGACAAUGUCUUACGGAAUAUGAGCCCCAUUAUUGUACCACAUACUGUCUGUGAUCCGAAAAGCCUCCUCUUCUUAUUUGGGAUGCAGUUGGACUACAGUGAUGCUCUUAUCGGUGGAGGUUUCUCUUUCAAGAACCCUAAUGCUACCCAGACCUGUGGUUGUGGUAAAUCGUUUGCAGCGGAGAUGUGAAAUUAUAUGUACAAAGACAGUUGAAUAGAUAGUAAUAGUCAUCCAUUAUAUGUAUUACAACCUACAAAUUGUGUCUGUAGUCUUUCAAGUUUCAAUGACUUGAUAUUUCUAGUGCCUUUCAUACCA